CGGGACCCGCGCCGUUGCGGUGGUCAUUCACAGAAUCAAAAUGGUUGAAGCAGAUCGUCCUGGGAAGCUGUUCAUUGGGGGCCUGAACACAGAGACUAAUGAAAAAGCCCUUGAGGCUGUAUUCGGCAAAUAUGGACGCAUUGUGGAAGUCCUUUUGAUGAAAGAUCGGGAAACAAACAAGUCCAGAGGAUUUGCAUUCGUCACGUUUGAGAGUCCAGCAGAUGCAAAAGAUGCUGCCAGAGAUAUGAAUGGAAAGUCAUUAGAUGGGAAGGCAAUUAAAGUGGAACAAGCAACCAAGCCAUCCUUUGAAAGUGGUGGUAGGCGUGGGCCACCACCCCCUCCCCGAAGCAGAGGUCCUCCCAGGGGCCUUAGAGGCGCAAGAGGCGGAAGUGGCGCGAGAGGACCACCUUCAAGAGGGAGUCACUUGGGGUCUUCUCGAGGGCCACUUCCCAUGAAGAGGGGUCCACCUCCACGAAGUGGAGGCCCUCCACCUAAAAGGUCUGCACCUUCAGGACCAGUGCGUAGCAGUAGCAUGGGAGGAAGAGCUCCUGUGUCACGUGGAAGAGAUGGCUACGGUGGUCCUCCGCGCAGAGAGCCGAUGCCAUCACGGAGAGAUGUCUACAUGUCUCCAAGAGAUGAUGGCUAUAGCACUAAAGACGGUUAUUCAAGCAGAGAUUAUCCCAGUUCCAGGGAUACCCGGGACUACGCACCACCUCCCCGCGACUACGCAUAUCGUGAUUAUGGUCAUUCCAGUUCACGUGAUGAAUACCCCUCCAGGGGAUAUAGUGAUCGUGAUGGAUACGGUGGUGGGCGUGACAGGGACUACUCGGAUCAUCCAAGUGGAGGCUCCUACAGAGAUUCAUAUGAGAGUUACGGGGGAUAACUUCUGAAAGAUACUGCUGAAAAUAGUGCUGGUUCAUCUGUUGACGGCAGACGUGGUGCCUGUGCCAAUACAUGAGUUACGGUGCCUAGAAGGUGGCCAUGCAGCAGUGGAUGUGCAUUGGAAAAUCAAGGCAUAACAAAUCACAACUGAUACAGCCUGCCUUUUGGGUGUAGUGUUGCCCACCGUUUCUAGAGGAAUGUGUAAGCAUUCAGGAGUUGCCUUUGAAAGUAGCACUACGGAUCUCUUGGACAUAGAUAAAAUUUCUGGUGGGAGCCAGCCGCUGUCUGCCAUAGCUCACACCGUCCAGCAGCUAUGAGUGAGCUGCUUCGUUGCACACACGUUCUGCAGUGGUGAAAUACUUUGUUUGCCUUUUACGUGUGCUUGCUCUUUUUGCUGAUGAAAAGAGCAAGUUACACAGAAGCGAGUCUUAGUCCACCUGAAUACAGAGGACUUCACCAAGGAUCCACGGAAAGUUCUGCUAUAUUACAUUUACAGUUUUGUCCUAACCUUCUGGAUGAGAGGAUGGGAGUGUUGGUGUAUUGAGACAAUGUUAGUGAUGAAUGGCCAGAAUAAUUGGUGUUCCUCUAUGUACACUGGACAGUGUAGUACAUCUCUUGGGAGUAGGUGCUUUGUUCAAAACUUUGUCUUGAUUUUCAUGCAUUUUUCUCUUACAUACAUGUUGAUGGGCCUGUGUAUGUGAGAGGAAUCAUCAGGCAUUGGUACUUCAUGUAGAAAACUCAUAAACAAUCAUGGAUAAUAAAAUUUAUACUGACUUCUGUGAUAGACGUAAACUGAUCUCAUUUAAACAAUGCUCAGUUCAUAAUGAGUAGCUAAAGAAGAAAAAGCAUGCAUACCUUGCCUAGAGAUUUAAAACUCUACAUUUGCGGUGAGGAUAUCACUUUAAACUCAGUUACGGGCUGCAGAUUCUAGAGUAAAUCUGUGUAGCAGAUUGGUAGAAUUGCAAUAUUUCCCAGGCCAAAUAAAUUUACUGUUAUCAAGAA